AACAGUUGUAACAGACAAGGAACGUCACAAAGCCUACUUCAGCACGCAAGCCCGGGCCCCUACCCAGUCAGGUACCCUGAUGCGUGCACCUUCAGGACUUUACCUCAUGUUUUAGGAGACGGACUCUAGAAGGUUUCCAAGGCCUCUACUGGAAGAUGUGUAGGCACUGAGACCACGCAAAUGGCAGUGAGUUAGGCAAGCGCCCCUUUAAAGGCCCGAACAUUAACUGGGCUGCUUUUCCCCUGUGAGGAAAUGCAGAGUUUGAGGAGCAUACCUUACAUCUGUUUGUAGGCACUGAGAGUUGGGGGCGCGGGGAGAUCUGUCUGUCUGUUUGCUUGCUUUUGUUUUGUUUUGCUUUCGACACAGGGUUUCUCUAUGUCGACUUGGCCGCCCUGGAACUCAUUCUGUAGCUCAGGUUGGUCUCGAACUCAAAAAAGAGAUCCGCCUGCCGCCACCACCUAGCUGUUUGUAGACAUUUACAUAACUACUCGUUUCGAGAGAUGACUUCUUCAGUAAAGAGCUCGCGAUGCAAGCAUGAGGGCUUGAGUUGGAUCCCCAGAACAAAGGUAAUAGCUGAAAGUGGCUACUUAGUAAUCUAUGGCUGUGGCCGAGACAGAGCCUCCCUGUGGCUCCCUAGACAGCCAUCUUAGCGUUAAUUAAUGAGUGUCUUUGUCCCAAAAAUCUAGGUGGAUGACAUCUUAGGGGUGGAACAAUACCUGAUUUCCUCUGGCCUCCAUGUCCACAUGUGCAUGUAUGCACCCGCGCGCACGCGCGCGCACACACACACACACACACACACACACACACACUCACUGUGUUAGGGUUCUCUAAAGCAGUGGUUCUUAACCUGUGGGUGGCUACCCCGGGCGGGGGGCAUCGCAUAUUAGAUUAUUUACACUACAACUCUUAACAGUCGCAAACUUAGUUAUGAAGUAACAAAAUAAUUUUUAUGCUCUGCCACGGCGGGAGCAAUCCCUACUCUGAAACCAAAGCUUUUGGGCCUUCAGCACUCAGGUCUCAGGAAUAAGGAGCAGAGAGUUUCCUGCUGAGUCACUAGGGGUGAUGGAGAGUGGAUUCACUCCUUUUCCAUCCCUUAAUUCCUGGAUCUGUGGGUCCCAGCUAUGGGACAAACUGCCAUGUAUGGAUAUUGAUUCAAACAUACGUUGGGGAUUUAGCUCAGUGGUAGAGCGCUGCUUGCCUAGCAAGCGCAAGGCCCUGGGUUUGGUCCCCAACUCAAAAAAAAAAAAACAAAAACAAAAAAACAUACUCCCUUCUGGAGAACCCUCCCCAGCCCUCCAGGCAGCUGCCACCUAGCCAGCACUGUGUCGGUGUCUUCAAAGAGCCAGUGCACUCAAAACAGGAUGUGUGCUUUAGGAACAUGCUAGACUAGUGGGGCCCAUGAGCGUGGUGGGCCCCCUGUUGCACUUCUCUGCCUGAGAAGUGGGUGUCUUGAUCUGAAGCAGUGACCCUGGACAUGGCAUUCUCUAAGUCCGUCAUGGUUUUGGCAGAAGCAUUAUGUGCAGGAAAGGCAAAUCCAUGACUAAGGUAACCUCCUCCAGAAGGACAAAGUGUCCUUUCCAUGAAGAAUGGGGUUGUGUGGUGCAGUCAAUCUGCAGCUUGGUGCACGGUGACUCCAGAGAAUGGUGCUAUACGAGGGGACUCAGUGUUGGCCUCUGCUGCUGACAGAUCUGGCACUCGGCAGUAGCUACGUUAGCCAUAGUGAGUAGAAAUCUAUGUUGUCGAGCCCAGGCACAACCCCAUCCCAUCCCUGCUACAAUCUGACUUGGUGGGUCAGAUAAUAUCCAGUUCAUGACAGGCGGUCAUGGUAACUUAGUGGCCUAUUGCUAAACUUCAGUUUCCAGGAAUGCUUAGUAACAGGCCUGACACUCUUUCUUAAAGGAAAACAGUAGUCUGCAGAUGAUGGGAGAGCCUUGCUCCAAAAUCCCAAAGGUCUCCACUGUGAUCUACCUCCUGUAGCCUGCCAAAGGCUCCCAACAACAUCUCUAUCACCCGCUACACCCCACAUACCCUGGGGUCUGCUGGAUCAAAUGUUUCUAAAGGUAGAACAGCUUGUACGGCGGCCUGGACCUGUGAGUUUUCUUGUUCCAGGGCCCACACAAAGCUAGCAGCUUUCUGAGUCACGUGGUAUAGGGGCCAGAGUAACACACACAUGAGGAAUGUGCUGCUUCCAGAAUCCAAAGAGGCCCCCUGAAGGUUGCACUUCUCUCUUGGUGGGAGGGGGCCAGGUGCAGUAACUUACCCUUCACCGUGGGAGCAGUAUCUCUGUAUGCUCCACACCCCGACUCCUAGAGAUUUUACUGAGGUAGAAGGCCCUUGGAUUUGGAUUGGAUUUAUUUCCUAUUUUGUUUUUAAAGAAUUGUUUAUGUAUAUGAGUACACUGUAGCUGUCCUCAGGCACACCAGAAGAGGGCAUUGGAUCUCAUUACAGAUGGUUGUGAGCCACCAUGUGGUUGCUGCUCAGGACCUCUGGAAGAGCAGUCAGUGCUCUUAAUCACUGAGCCAUCUCUCCAGCCCCCUGUUUCCCAUAUAUUUUAAUGGUUGCUACCUCCGAUCACUUGAUCCAAUCAGUAUAAUGUCAUCAAUAUAGUGGACCAAUGUGACAUUUUAUGGAAGAGACAGGUAAUAAAGAUCCCUUUGGGGAAUGGAGAGUUGGCUCAAAGGAGGACUUGUUGCUUUUGCAGAGAACCUGUGUUUGUUCUGUGUGUGGGACUCCAAAAGAGAGUGUUGGAUCCUGUGAUAGUUUGCAUAUGCUUGACCCAGGGAAUAGCACUAUUAGAAGAUGAAGAUGUAGAACUCUCAGCUCCUCCUGCACCAUGGCUGUCUGGACACUGCCAUGCUCCUGCCUUGAUAAUGAACUGAGCCUCUGAACCUGUAAGCCAGCCCCAAUUAAAUGUUGUCCUUAUAAGAGUUGCUUGGUCAUGGUAUCUGUUCACAGCAGUAAAACCCUAACUAAGACAGAUCCCCUGGACCUAAAAUUACAGGAGUGUUUGUGUCUGUGUGUAUACUUACAGAUAUAUGGGCACAAACUUCCAUACCAGUACAUGGGGUGGGAAUUAAACCUGGGUCCUCUGAAAGAGUACUCUCUCAAAACUAGCCUGCAACUCAGUGUCGACAUGUUCUGGUCCACACAACAAAGUUAUAGACCACCAUUAAGUACAAGGGCAAAUAAGAGUCCUUGUUCUAAUUCAAGCCAGCAACUGAGAGCAGGCUCCUGCCACAGAGAACUACUCUUAGCCCACAAGUUGGGAAAGGUAGGGUUUAUAAAGCCAAACCACAACUACAUCAUACCGGUAUGGGCCAAGAGGUCUUUUUCCUUUUUGUUCCUUCUGUUGUUUUUGUUUUGUUUUGUUAUCUAAUUAAUUAUUUCAGGGUCUUUCCCCCAUAAUCCUGGUUUGUAGCACAAACCAGCAGUACAACUUCUAGGGCAGGUAUCUUAGCUUUCUUUUGCUGUGAUACACACUUUGACCAAAAGCAGUUUGGGGUGGAAGCUGUAUUGGCUUACACAUCCAUUUCCUAGUUCUUCAUCCAGUAAAUUGCCAUAGGAACUUAAAGCAGAAGCCUGGAGGCAAGAACUGAAGAAAAGGCCUUGGGCCUUUGCUCCCUAUAGCUUGCUAACCUGGUUUCUUAAAACAUUCCAGAAUUACCUGCCCAGGGGUGACACCACCCACAGGGAGCUGACCCUCCCGCAUCAAUUACACAUAAAGGAAAUGAACUGUAGACUUGCCUCCAGGCCAAUAUCCGGGUGGUUUCUUGAGUUCCUCUCACAGUUGACUAGCUUGUGUCAAGUUGACCUAAAAGUAUCCAGGAGGCCUAGGGAAGGGUUGGUUACAAAGAACCCCAGGACAACUAAAGAAAUAGAGUGAGCUAGGGCUCUGAGUUUGGCAAUUGUGUUUGGACAACCUGGAGAAACCAGUUCUCUUUUAACUAUGUGGGCUCUGGGGAUUGGACUCAGGUCAUUUGGUUGCAAACACCUUUACAAGCUGAGCCUUCUCACCGGGCCCUGUUUAGAAGUCUUCAGCACCGUGCAUCUACCCUCUUCGCAAUGGAGUUUUGCAGCUGAUGGUCAACUGGUAAGUUUUCACAUUGAUUUAUAAAAUGCCUACGUGAGUGUGGGACAUCAUAGUUAAGAUUCUCUGAAUCCCUUGUACUUAAGACAAAUACCAUGGAUAAUGGAAAUGGACUAACCAAAAAAAUAUCUAGUUACACAACUAGUGUAAAUUCAUACCUAAUAGCUGCUCAUUCAAUAUUCAGUCAGCUCCUAAUCAUGGUCACCUGCUGCUCCCAGCAGUUUAGAGCACUGACUCUUCUCCCAGAGGUCCUGAGUUCAAUCCCCAACACCCACAACCAUCCUAACUACAGUUCCAG
ensembl:lncRNA